AAAAAAAAAAUCAUUCUAAGAUAUCAGAAAUCCAACAUCUAGGUAGGAGCUCUCUCGCUUCUCUCUAAAGUUUUUGUCAUUUCUCUCUCGCUUCUCUCUAAACCUAAGUCUUUUUGUGCGCCGUCAGCCUCUCCGGCAUGCCCUUCAGGCGCCGGAGAGGGCAUUAGCUUCCCUAGUUCUUGUUCUUCUUCCACGGCGUGGUUCUCUUCUUCGGCGAGGUUGUCCUCCGUCUCUGUCUGGUCUCCGGUGGUGGUUCUGGUUCGAGAUUCGGCGCGUGGUGGUCGAUCCGCCUUUGUGUGGCCGCUGCUGUUCUAUUGGCUCCGAUUGCUUGAGGACAACAUCGAUUUCGGUGGUGACUUUAGCGGAUCUGGGUCUGGUGGUUCGUCUGUUGUCCAUUUCUCUCCGAUGGUUUGUUGGCUUUAAGGGGUUUUGGGGUUUCUGGUCUCUUCUUGUCGAAGUAGUUCCAGUGGUCGCUUUUUUGGUGAGUUCUCGCCGGAUUUGUCGAUUCUCUCCUCUCCAGGCGGUACGGUUCUUCGUUGGUCAAGGUUCUGGUUCGUGGGAGGCCGUUGGAGGUGUGGUGGUUUCUCCCAUUUGAUGCGGCUGUGGCUCCGUUUUGGUGGAAGAGAAGAGCCGAAGUCGUGUAACUCUAGUUCAAGGACGCUAGUGGUUCACGGAGGUGUCUUCUCGAGGCUCAUCUUCCAAUUUGGUAGCUGCGGUUCGCGGCGGAAGUCGGUGGGAGAACGGAGGGUUGCGCUGUUUGUUUUGGCGGUUAACUGCGGAAUUUGUUGGAUUCCUAGAGGGCGCUCGCGAUUCCCGGUUUAUGGAGGCUAUUUGAGCCACAAGCUGAUGUAAACCGACGCGUUGCUAGCAUCCGCCGGACCGGAUUGAUUUGAUCUUGCUCGGAGUUGAGGAGGACGCUUGAUCUAGAGGAGUGGUGUUAGAACCCAGGGGGUUAGGUUGCUAGGUACGGGACCUAACUCCGGUAGAGCCUGUUGUCGGGGAUUUAAGCGGUCCGGGAUUUCUGUGGCGGGUUAGGUGGGUCAUCGGGAAGGAGCCGGACAUGGAAAUCAAACGCUUCUGUCGACGGAUCUGAUCUAGUGGCAUUGCCGCAAAGCUGUGGGGGUUGUGUUUGCUGGUACUACUGUUCAAAUCCCUGCCUCCGGUCGUCAGCAGGUUCCGAUCCACUCCUCCGGUGAUGGAUUUUUUUUUUCUCUUUCUCCUUUUUGUACCUGUUUUCUGUUUUUGUAAAGUCCAAGGCUUUGCCCUUUUUAAAGAAGUCCCAUUUUAAAUAUA